CCUACGGGAGGCAGCAGUGGGGAAUAUUGCACAAUGGGCGAAAGCCUGAUGCAGCGACGCCGCGUGAGGGAUGACGGCCUUCGGGUUGUAAACCUCUUUCAGCAGGGAAGAAGCGAAAGUGACGGUACCUGCAGAAGAAGCGCCGGCUAACUACGUGCCAGCAGCCGCGGUAAUACGUAGGGCGCAAGCGUUGUCCGGAAUUAUUGGGCGUAAAGAGCUCGUAGGCGGCUUGUCACGUCGGGUGUGAAAGCCCGGGGCUUAACCCCGGGUCUGCAUUCGAUACGGGCUAGCUAGAGUGUGGUAGGGGAGAUCGGAAUUCCUGGUGUAGCGGUGAAAUGCGCAGAUAUCAGGAGGAACACCGGUGGCGAAGGCGGAUCUCUGGGCCAUUACUGACGCUGAGGAGCGAAAGCGUGGGGAGCGAACAGGAUUAGAUACCCUGGUAGUCCACGCCGUAAACGGUGGGAACUAGGUGUUGGCGACAUUCCACGUCGUCGGUGCCGCAGCUAACGCAUUAAGUUCCCGCUGGGAGUCGGCCGCAAGCUAAAACUCAAAGGAAUUGACGGCUGAGACGNGCGAGACGACGACGAGGAGAG
rnacentral:rRNA from 1 species